UACGUAGGGUGCGAGCGUUGUCCGGAAUUAUUGGGCGUAAAGAGCUCGUAGGCGGUCUGUUGCGUCCGCUGUGAAAACUCGGGGCUUAACCCCGAGCCUGCAGUGGAUACGGGCAGACUAGAGGUAGGUAGGGGAGAAUGGAAUUCCCGGUGUAGCGGUGAAAUGCGCAGAUAUCGGGAGGAACACCGGUGGCGAAGGCGGUUCUCUGGGCCUUACCUGACGCUGAGAAGCGAAAGCAUGGGGAGCGAACAGG
rnacentral:rRNA from 1 species